ACUGAGUCACAGUGUGGCUGUUACUUAUCUUUUCCUUUUUUUUUGCACAGCACUGCUCUUGACCCUCAUUUUUCCAUUAAUACUCAUACAAAUGAGUGCUUUCCAUAAUUAAUUUUUUUUGUUUCAUUAUUGUUCUGUGGUUGUGUACUUCUAUACUAUGUGCUUUCUUUACUACCAGAAGCUAAAUUUAAUAUCAUUUUAUAAGCAACAAGAAUAUGACAGUACAUCAUAUAGAUCAGGAAACUGGGGAGUGAAGAAUAAUAAAAGAAAUGCAAUCUGAUCCUGCCAGCAGUGAAAGGGCGAGGUAAUUUACACACACUUGGGUAUUCUUGUGCUGAAGAGAAUGUGGGAAAUUGACGUAAACUAUUGUUAAGGUAAGACAACCUGAUGCUGUC